rnacentral:rRNA from 1 species
GACGAACGCUGGCGGCGUGCCUAAUACAUGCAAGUAGAACGCUGAAGGAGGAGCUUGCUUCUCCGGAUGAGUUGCGAACGGGUGAGUAACGCGUAGGUAACCUGCCUGGUAGCGGGGGAUAACUAUUGGAAACGAUAGCUAAUACCGCAUAACAGUAGAUAUUGCAUGAUAUCUGCUUGAAAGGUGCAAUUGCAUCACUACCAGAUGGACCUGCGUUGUAUUAGCUAGUUGGUGAGGUAACGGCUCACCAAGGCGACGAUACAUAGCCGACCUGAGAGGGUGAUCGGCCACACUGGGACUGAGACACGGCCCAGACUCCUACGGGAGGCAGCAGUAGGGAAUCUUCGGCAAUGGACGGAAGUCUGACCGAGCAACGCCGCGUGAGUGAAGAAGGUUUUCGGAUCGUAAAGCUCUGUUGUAAGAGAAGAACGAGUGUGAGAGUGGAAAGUUCACACUGUGACGGUAUCUUACCAGAAAGGGACGGCUAACUACAUG